ACUUCAACUGACACAACGGUCUCGAUGGUAGGAACAAGCAAAAGCUCCUUUAAAUUUCGUCAUUUUUUAUACACAUCCUGUUUAUUUUGUAGUUAAUUGUUAGAUAAGUUAGUAAUUUCGUCAAGUUUUCGUUACAAGGGGUUUCUGUUCCUGCAGUCUUUCAGCGGUGCUGGCGCGUAUGACGAUGCGGACAUGAACAGCACACUACAGUAUACCGCCACCUACUGUACUGUAGUACAAUAACGUCCUUUAAACAUCUAAACAUGUCCUCCAAAAAGGUUUCCUGUGCUGUUUUGCUCCAUUUUACUGAACAAAAUAAGGCUGAGGUAGCACCAUCCUUGUGGUUAGAGUGAAAGAACGUGUGUAUUGAGACCAAAAUAAACAAUGUGCCAUUCUGGACAAACAGCUGUGGACAAUAUAUGCAGUCAGAGUAGCCUAUUUUCUCACACAGACCUGAAGAUAAGAUUUCCAGUUUAAAAGUGAAGAAAAUGAAUCAUUAUUAACAGCAAUUAGGAGUAUUUCUCAGCUGAAAAGCCAGUUUAUGCACAAUCACAAAUGCAGCACAUCAAUCAAUUUCUUCCAACCAGCGAAUCAAGAAAUCUUGGAGUGGAGAAUCAUUCUGAAAGUAGACCAAAUCCAGGACAACAUCACAGCAGUGGUCGGAAAAAUGCAGCAAGCCAAGCUGACUUUCAAAAGAUGAUUCGUUAUCUGUUUCUUCAGAGGGGAGGCAGUUUGGGAGAUGGGAAUUAGGAGGAUGCUACAGUUACACAGGGCGAAUUUCAGCAGCUCAGUUUCAAACUUGCAACUAACAAUGAAUUAUAUUAGAAGACCACGGAAAUAUUUGACAUCGGAGUCCAGCAGACAGCCAGAGACACGCACACACACGCAGCUGAAGCGCGUGACGCGUACGGGAGAUCCGGCACGCGCACGGGAGCUUGCGCACGCUCACACAAACACGGAGCACAGGAUAAUUACAACUGUUUAAUUAAAAAUAAAAGAACUUUGUUGUAUACAA